rnacentral:rRNA from 1 species
GACGAACGCUGGCGGCGUGCUUAACACAUGCAAGUCGAGCGGAGCGGCGAACGGGUGAGUAACGCGUGAGUAACUGCCCCCCUCUCUGGGAAAACAGUUGAAAACGGCUGCUAAUACCGGAUAGUUGGGGAUGACUCGCGUCCUAUCGGCUUGUUGGUGGGGUAGUGGCCUACCACGGCGACGACGGGUAGCCGGCCCGAGAGGGAGACCGGCCACAUUGGGCCGCGAUACGGCCCAAACUCCUACGGGAGGCAGCAGUGGGGAAUCUUGCACAAUGGGGGAACCCCGGCAGCAGCACCGCCGCGUGCGGGAUGACGGCUUUCGGGUUGUAAACCGCUUUCAGCCAUGACGCGGUAGUGGCAGAAGAAGCACCGGCUAACUACGUGCCAGCAGCCGCGGUAAUUC